rnacentral:rRNA from 1 species
AUACGGAGGGUGCAAGCGUUAAUCGGAAUUACUGGGCGUAAAGCGUGCGCAGGCGGUUUGUUAAGUCAGAUGUGAAAGCCCCGGGCUCAACCUGGGAACUGCAUUUGAAACUGGCAAACUAGAGUGUGGUAGAGGGAAGUGGAAUUCCUCAUGUAGCGGUGAAAUGCGUAGAUAUGAGGAGGAACACCAGUGGCGAAGGCGACUUCCUGGACCAACACUGACGCUCAUGUACGAAAGCGUGGGUAGCAAACAGGAUUAGAUACCCGAGUAGUCC